GAGGUUGUGGCUCAGUGGUAGAGUGCUUAUCUAGCAUGCAUGAGGCACUGGGUUUGAUCCUCAGCACCACA
rnacentral:tRNA from 1 species